ACUCAAAUGAAUUGACGGGGGCCCGCACAAGCAGUGGAGCAUGUGGUUUAAUUCGACGAUACGCGAAGAACCUUACCAGGGCUUGACAGCUACGGAAUUCUCUAGAAAUAGAGAAGUGCUCGCAAGAGAGCCGUAAGACAGGUGGUGCAUGGCUGUCGUCAGCUCGUGUCGUGAGAUGUUGGGUUAAGUCCCGCAACGAGCGCAACCCCCAUUCUGUGUUGCCAGCACUUCGGGUGGGAACUCACAGGAGACUGCCGGUAAAAAGCCGGAGGAAGGUGGGGAUGACGUCAAGUCAUCAUGCCCCUUACGCCCUGGGCUACACACAUGCUACAAUGGCCGGCACAAUGGGUCGCGAAGCCGCAAGGUGAAGCUAAUCUCAAAAAACCGGCCUCAGUUCAGAUUGUAGUCUGCAACUCGACUACAUGAAGUUGGAAUUGCUAGUAAACGCAGAUCAGCAUCGCUGCGUUGAAUACGUUCCCGGGCCUUGCACACACCGCCCGU
rnacentral:rRNA from 1 species